rnacentral:tRNA from 1 species
GAGGUGUUUAAACACUUAGACCUGCUAACUCUGACUACUGAAAAUAAAAUCUUCAGACCUCUUA